UAUUUUCGGUGGAAAUAAGAUCGAGACGAUGUUUACAGAAGAAAUUGUUCAUUUCACCCUGUGAUUUACAAAACGAUCCAGCAUAAUACGAAGCCAAACCCGGCCCAUUGUCCUUCAACAGGGCAGACAUGCAUUUAUGUAUGCAAUACUCGAGUUCCUGAGGCUUUCUAGUGCCUGCACGCCCUAAUACGCCGUUAUAAUUUAUAGCAGGCUGCUCUACGGUUUCGGAUACAUCAUCACUCUGCUCGGCCUGCGAUAUUGAUCAGCUGCAGAAUGAAUAAUCAUGGUCGGAUCGAUCAUCGUCUGCUUGUUCCUUACUGCACCGUAAAAACUUGGCGAGCAUUAUAACACUAGAACUACCACACUAGUCAAAUUGACUGGUUUUACAAUUUUAUUUUAAAAUUCCUACUUUAUGUUAUAUUUCUUUCCUCAAUAAUG
rnacentral:misc_RNA from 1 species